GACGAACGCUGGCGGCGUGCUUAACACAUGCAAGUCGAACGUGAUUUUUGUGGAAAUUCUUUCGGGAAUGGAAAUGAAAUGAAAGUGGCGAACGGGUGAGUAACACGUGAGCAACCUACCUUACACAGGGGGAUAGCCGUUGGAAACGACGAUUAAUACCGCAUGAGACCACAGAAUCGCAUGAUAUAGGGGUCAAAGAUUUAUCGGUGUAAGAAGGGCUCGCGUCUGAUUAGCUAGUUGGAAGGGUAAAGGCCUACCAAGGCGACGAUCAGUAGCCGGUCUGAGAGGAUGAACGGCCACAUUGGAACUGAGACACGGUCCAAACUCCUACGGGAGGCAGCAGUGGGGAAUAUUGCACAAUGGGGGGAACCCUGAUGCAGCGACGCCGCGUGAGCGAAGAAGGUUUUCGAAUCGUAAAGCUCUGUCCGAUGAGAAGAUAAUGACGGUAUCAUAGGAGGAAGCCCCGGCUAAAUAC
rnacentral:rRNA from 1 species